UUUAAAGUAUUAUAUGAAACUAAUUCAAUUAGAAAGACAAUAAAGAAGAAUAAGAGUAGGAAAUGAAGUAAAGAUAGACAGCAUAACAAAAAAGAAACGAUAUGAAAGAUAUAAAUUAGCCGCGUAGUAUGUAACGACUGAGGUAAGUCAGAGACAUGAACAGAAAAAAGAAAUAGAUAAAAUAGAUUUGUAAAGAGACAGUAAAAAAAAAUAUUAUACGAUGAAUAUAUGAAGAAAGGAGAGAUAAAGGUCGAAGAACAAGAUAAAACCCUGUGAGGGGGAGGAAAAAGAACCUGAAACCGUAUGUACGCGGGCUUACAAAGCAGUGGGUAGCAACUAUACCGCGAGGUGACUGCGUACCAUUUUGUAUAAUGGGAGUCAGCGAGAGAUUAAACCUACUAUAUUAAAAAAAGAAAUCAAAGAAAACAAAGAUUAGAUUAAAUAUAUUUAAUUAAAAUAAAUAAAUCAAAAGUAACAAUUUAGAAAUAAAAAAAUAUAUGUUUAUAAUAUGAAACAAUUUUGUAGGCGAAGGUUUAACCGUAAUAGGAUGGAGGCAAACCCCCGGGGUUUUUUUCAAAGGGAAAACCGAAGAGAGUCCUUAACCUGGGUCAGUUGAGUUCAAAAGGUGUAGACCCGAACCGGGCAUGUGAUCUAUGCCAGGGCCAGGUUGAUGGAUAAGGUUGAACGUUAAAUCACACUGGAAGGAACCGGAAAAACCCACCAUGAUAACGUUGCAGAAGACUUAGGGGAUGACCUGUGGCUGGGGGUGAAGGCCAAUCAACUCGGAGAUAGCUGGUUCUCUCCCGAAAGCUAUUAUGGUAGCGCCUCGGACGAAAAUACUACUCAGUGGGGUUAGAGCACUGUUUGGGAGACAAGGGGGUCAUUCCCCGACUUACCAACUCAUGACAAACAUCCGAAUACCAAAUAAGUAAUAUCGGGAGACACCGGGCGGUGCUAACGUCCGAGUCUGUCGAAUGAGGGAAACAACGCCAGACACAGCCUGAUCGCCGCUAAGGUCAAAGGUUCUGAGGUUAAGUGGGAAACGAUGUGGAAGGUCAGACAGCUAGGAGAUGUUUGGCUUAGAAGCAGCCAUUGCAUUUGAAGAAAAGCGUAAUACUCACUAGUCGAGAUCAGGCCCGCGCGGAGAAGAAUUAAUCGGGGCUCAAAACAGGCCACCGAAAGCCCGGCGGAUUCACACUUAUGUGGAGUGUAAGGGGAGCGUUCUAUAAAUCGCGAAGGUGUAUCGAGAGGUAUGCUGGAGAUAUCAGAAUGCGAAUGCUGACGUAAAGUUACGAUAAAGGGGGUGGAAGCCUACUCCCGGAAGACCAAGGGUUUCCUGUCCAUCGGUUAAAUCUGGGGCAGGUGGGGGUGGGAAAAGGGUUUUUUUCGACACCCUAAAGGUGUAGGCCGAAAGGCGUAAUCGAUGGGAAGCAGGUUAAUGUUCCUGCACGACUUGUAAUUGCGAUGGGGAGACGAGAAGGCUUAGGUGGCCCAGGCGUACGGUUGUCCUGGUGAAAGGUGCGUAGCGGUAAAUCUCUAGGCAAAUCCGGAGAUGCAAACGCUAGAGACACGACACGAAGCCACUACGGUGGUGGAAGCCAUUGAUGCAUGACUUCCAGAAAAGCUCUAAGCUUCAAGAUACAAGUCAUCGUACCCAAACCGACACAGGUGGUCGUGUAGAGAAUACCAAGGACAGCGCUGAAGAACAUCGGGUGAAAGAGGAACUAGGCAAAAUAGAAACCGUAACUUCGGGAGGAAGUUCGCUCUUGACAGUGAAGUCCCUUGCGGAUGAGCAAGUUGGGAGUCGCAGUGAACCAAGAUGGCUGGACUGUUUUAUCAAAAACCAGCAACUCUGCAAACACGAAAGUGGAGUUAGGGUAGUGAACACCUGCCCGGUGCCGGAAGGUUAAUUGGAUGGGGUAGCGCAAGCGAAGCUCUUGAAUCGAAGGCUCGGUAAACGGCGGGCCGUAACUAUAAGCACGGUCCUAAGGUAGCGAAAUUCCCUUGUCCGGGUAAGUUCCGACUGCAACGGAAUGGUGUAACCAUGGCCAAUAAAGCUGUCUCUCACCCGAGACUCAGUGAAUCGAAAUUCGCGACGUGAAGAUGCGUGUAUAACCCGCGCUAGACGGAAAGCCCCUGAAACCUUUACUAGCUUGGCACAGAACAUUGAACCUAACAUGUGUAGGAUAGGUGGAAGCUUGAAGCGAUAGCAGGUCGGUGGACCGUCCUUUGAAAUAACCACCGCUUGUAUGUUGAACUGUUCUAAACGCAAAGGGCCCUGAAUCAGGGCUCGCGACAGUGCUGGGGGUAGUUUGACUGGGGCCGGUCCCUCCAAGAGUAACGGAGGAGCACGAAGGUUGGCUAAUCGGUCGGCACAUCAGGAGGUUAGUGCAUAUGGCAUAAGCCAGCUUAACUGCGAACGGACAGGUCGAGCGGUACGAAAAGUAGGUCCAUAAGUGAUCCGGUGGUUCCUCGAAUGGAAGGGGCCCAUCGCUCAUCAAACGAAUAAAAGGUAACUUCCGGGGAUUAACAGCUGAACGCAAGAGUUCAUAUCGACGUGCGGUGUUUGGCACCAUCGUAAUGUCGGCUCAUCACAUCACUGGGCUGAAUGGUCCAGGGAUGGCUGUUCGCCAUUUAAAGUGGUACGCGAGCUGGGUUCAGAACGUCGUGAGACAGUUCGGUCCCUAUCUGCCGUGGGCGUUGGAUUGAAAUUUGAAAGGAGUUGCUCCUAGUACGAGAAGAGGACCGGAGUGAACGAACUCUUGUGUUCGGGUUGGUCCACGCCCAGUGGCACUGCCCUCGUAAGCUAAGUUCGGAAAUCGAUAACCGCUGAAAGCAUCUAAGCGGGAAAGCGAAGCCCUGAGAGUAAGAGUCAUCCUGACCCUUGAGGGUCUAAAGGGGCGUUGGAGACCACAACGUUGGAUAGGUGGGUGUAUAGCAGCGGCGGAACGUGUUAGCAACCCAUACUAAUUACCCGUGAGGGCUUAACCAU
rnacentral:rRNA from 1 species